rnacentral:rRNA from 1 species
GGCGGACGGGUGAGUAAUGCUUGGGAAUGUGCCUUAUGGUGGGGGACAACAGUUGGAAACGACUGCUAAUACCGCAUAAUGUCUUCGGACCAAAGUGGGGGACCUUCGGGCCUCACGCCAUAAGAUCAGCCCAAGUGGGAUUAGCUAGUUGGUAAGGUAAUGGCUUACCAAGGCGACGAUCCCUAGCUGGUUUGAGAGGAUGAUCAGCCACACUGGGACUGAGACACGGCCCAGACUCCUACGGGAGGCAGCAGUGGGGAAUAUUGCACAAUGGGCGCAAGCCUGAUGCAGCCAUGCCGCGUGUGUGAAGAAGGCCUUCGGGUUGUAAAGCACUUUCAGUAAGGAGGAAAGGUUAAGUGUUAAUAGCACUUAGCUGUGACGUUACUUACAGAGGAAGCACCGGCUAACUCCGUGCCAGCAGCCGCGGUAAUACGGAGGGUGCGAGCGUUAAUCGGAAUUACUGGGCGUAAAGCGUAC